rnacentral:rRNA from 1 species
UACGGAGGAUGCAAGCGUUAUCCGGAAUGAUUGGGCGUAAAGGGUCCGCAGGUGGCAGUGUAAGUCUGCUGUCAAAGAAUGAGGCUUAACCUUAUCAAGGCAGUGGAAACUACACAGCUAGAGUACGGUCGGGGUAGAAGGAAUUCCUGGUGUAGCGGUGAAAUGCGUAGAGAUCAGGAGGAACGCCGGUGGCGAAAGCGGCUCUCUGGUCUGCAACUGACGCUGAGGUGCGAAAGCUAGGGGAGCAAACGGG